rnacentral:rRNA from 1 species
UGUACGACCGUCCACUGUCAAAGCCAAACACCAAACACCGGCGUCCACCAAUACCGGGCGCUGGUGCCCCGUCUCCCUGUCCGCUGUCGGUCCACGCGCUAAUCCCAACGGGAUUACGGGCGACCUGUGCUUCGUAUGCGGCCAGUCGAGAUGGCCGCAACGUGGUCGACUACUACCUCAACACGAUCCGUUCCGCCUUCAGAUCUCCGGUUGCAUCUCAGUCUAGCCAGGGGGGGAGAGAUGAGCGAAGCGGAGGCGCCUCUCAUCACCGAGGAGGCGGCGGAGCGCGGCUUGGCGUCCUCCGGCAGUCGCCGCCUCAGCGACGGGGGCGGCGAGCAGGGCUCUAGGAAGUACCGCAGGCGGUCGGACGCGCUAGCCUAUGGCGACCGUUACCAGAAGGCGGCCGCUCUCGUCGACCUCGCAGAAGAUGGUGUUGGCAUCCCUGAGGAUGUCUUGAAUGAUACGAGGUUCGGGAGGGCAAUGAGUUUCUAUUUUGUGUAUCUCCGGUUGGACUGGCUGUGGUCACUUAACCUGUUUGCUUUGAUUCUUUUGAAUUUUCUCGAGAAGCCUCUAUGGUGCCGGAAAGAUGCUCUACAUGCUUGUGAUCAAAGGGAUCUUUACUUUCUCGGGCAGUUGCCAUACUUCAGCAAAACUGAAUCACUCAUCUACGAGGGCCUUACACUUGUUAUUCUUGUAAUGGACAUCUUUUGUCCACUUUCUUAUGAAGGCCUAAAUAUUUUCUGGAGGAGCACCACGAAUAAGUUGAAGAUUGUUCUUCUCUUCAUCUUAGCAUGCGACAUACUGGUGUUUGCCUUUAGUUCCCAACCUUUCAGAUUAGCUCCAUACAUCCGCGUAGUUUUUCUAAUCAUGACUAUCAGGGAACUGCGAAUGUGUGCUAUCACACUGGCCGGUCUUAUUGGGACAUACCUCAAUGUUUUGGCCCUCUCUCUGUUGUUCCUCUUAUUUGCAAGCUGGCUAGCUUAUGUAACAUUUGAGGACACUCCACAAGGGAAGACCAUUUUUUCAUCAUACGGUGUAACACUGUAUCAGAUGUUUGUCCUCUUCACCACCUCCAAUAAUCCUGAUGUAUGGGUGCAUGCUUACAAGAUAUCCCGCUGGUAUUCCCUAUUUUUCAUCGUCUACGUGCUUUUGGGAGUUUACUUCCUGACAAAUUUGAUUCUUGCUGUCAUCUAUGAUAGCUUUAAGGAGCAGUUCGCAAAGCAACUUGUUCAGGUGGACUCUAUCAGGAAAAAUAUAUUACAGAAGGCAUUUGAUCUUAUCGAUACCAACAAUCGGGGUUAUCUCGACAGGGAACAGUGCAUAUCAUUGCUUAAUGAGCUGAACAAGUACAGGUCCUUACCAAAGACUUCAAGGGAAGAUUUUGAAUUAAUUUUUGCCGAGCUUGAUCGAAGUGGUGAUUUCAAGGUUACCUCCGAAGAAUUUGCUGACCUAUGCAAUACCAUUGCAAUAAAAUUUCAGAAAGAACCACCGCCGUCUUAUCUGGAAAAGUUCCCAUUCUACCAUUCACCACUUUGUGGGAGGUUGAAAUCUUUUGUGCGGAGCCGCAUGUUUGAGUACAUUAUUGUUUUUGUUCUUCUGAUAAACCUUGUUGCCGUCAUUAUCGAAACAACGCUUGAUAUAGAAAACAGCUCCUCACAGGAAACGUGGCAGGAAGUAGAGUUCUUUCUUGGAUGGAUUUAUGUAGCCGAGAUGGCACUGAAAAUAUUUUCAUUAGGAUUUGGUGCUUAUUGGAUGGAAGGCCAAAACAAAUUUGAUUUUGUGCUUACUUGGACUAUAUUUAUUGGAGAGACUCUAACGUUUGCCUUCCCGUCAAAGCUUCCCUUUCUUUCAAAUGGAGAAUGGAUUCGGUAUCUUCUCCUUGGAAGGGUGUUGCGCUUAACAAGAAUUUUGCUGCAAGUUCAGCGUUUCAGAGCAUUUGUUGCAACAUUCUUUACCCUGAUGUCUAGUUUGAUGCCAUAUUUGGGGAUAGUAUUCUGUGUUCUUUGCAUGUACUGCUCCAUUGGUUUGCAGAUUUUUGGGGGCAUUGUGUAUGCUGGUAACCCAACACUAGAAGAAACGGACCUCUUCAAUAAUGACUACCUUCUUUUUAACUUCAAUGACUAUCCAAGUGGUAUGGUUACUCUGUUCAAUUUGUUAGUGAUGGGCAAUUGGCAAGUAUGGAUGGAGAGUUAUUGGCAACUGACUGGAACUUCUUGGAGCCUGAUUUAUUUUGUCAGCUUUUACCUUAUUUCAAUAUUACUACUGCUUAAUCUGAUUGUAGCAUUUGUGUUGGAGGCAUUUUUUGCUGAGAUGGAACUGGAGAAAGGUGAAGAGGUUGAUAUCCAGAAUCCUACGUCUGGAGGAAUAAAGAAACGCCGGUCUAUGCGUGUGAGGUCAAAGGGUACGAUGGUUGAUAUUCUUCUGCACCAUAUGCUGAGCAAUGAACUUGAUGGAUCUCAAAACUCUUGAACAAUGACUGGUACCUGGAGUUCACCUACAUUCUUUUCACGAUUACGUUCUAUCGGUGCUGCCCUCGUUGUGCUUUAAUGGUACAACUGUCGGUUAUUUUUAUUCGGUUCUGCUAGGAUGGAAGCAAGAAAAUACACGAACACUUCCUGGUGAAAAAGUACAUGAAUGAUUACAACCAGUAUAUUCCCAAGCAUGGAGUAUGUAGCAGCCGUGAUAAAUUUCUGAGUAGUGCUGUAACGGACUCGAUUUGCUUCUUUUUUCAGUAUCAAGAAAUACAUUGAAUAUGCGUAUUUGUAUCGGGUCGAUUUGAUACUGCUGUCUGUCAGUCUGGUAGAGUUUUAUACACACUCCGUCUCAGUCAACAUACCAACAAGCAACUAUAGAAGAGUUCAAGUCACCACUUCAAAGUGUAGUCAGCAACUUGUAUAAAACAAAAGGAACUGUACUGGAAAUCAAUAUGAUACUACAGGCUCUGGUACUUUUUUCUGUAACUAAUCUUAUAUCAGUUGAGAUACUAUCAAUAUGAUACUACAGGCUCUGGUACAUUUUUCUGUAACUUAUCUUAUAUCAGUUGAAAGACUAGGCAUUUUGUUGACC